UAGGGAAUCUUCCGCAAUGGGCGAAAGCCUGACGGAGCAACGCCGCGUGAGUGAUGAAGGUCUUCGGAUCGUAAAACUCUGUUAUUAGGGAAGAACAAAUGUGUAAGUAACUAUGCACGUCUUGACGGUACCUAAUCAGAAAGCCACGGCUAACUACGUGCCAGCAGCCGCGGUAAUACGUAGGUGGCAAGCGUUAUCCGGAAUUAUUGGGCGUAAAGCGCGCGUAGGCGGUUUUUUAAGUCAGAUGUGAAAGCCCACGGCUCAACCGUGGAGGGUCAUUGGAAACUGGAAAAAUUGAGUGCAGAAGAGGAAAGUGGAAUUCCAUGUGUAGCGGUGAAAUGCGCAGAGAUAUGGAGGAACACCAGUGGCGAAGGCGACUUUCUGGUCUGUAACUGACGCUGAUGUGCGAAAGCGUGGGGAUCAAACAGG
rnacentral:rRNA from 1 species